rnacentral:tRNA from 1 species
GCGCAUGCAGCUCAUGGAACUGCUGCGGCGGAUGGGCGAGGAGGGUCGCACGGUGCUCUUCUCCUCGCACAUCCUGGAGGAGGUCGAGCAACUC